rnacentral:tRNA from 4 species
GCCGAGGUGGUGAAACUGGGAAACACGUAGGAUUUAGGAUCCUAUGGCGAAAGCUUUGUGGGUUCGAAUCCCACCCUCGGCACUA